UCUCCGUUGGUGAACCAGCGGAGGGAUCAUUAUCGAGUUUAUAACUCCCAAACCCUAUGUGAACUUACCACUUGUUGCUUCGGCGCGCGCUUCGGUGCCGCCGAGGACACUUAAACCCUUUGGUUUUAUAAGCAUUUCUGAGUGGCCGAAAGGCAAAAUACAAAUGAAUCAAAACUUUCAACAACGGAUCUCUUGGUUCUG
rnacentral:misc_RNA from 1 species